GCUAUCUACGUGCCAGCAGCCGCGGUAAUACGUAGGGUGCAAGCGUUAAUCGGAAUUACUGGGCGUAAAGCGUGCGCAGGCGGUUCGGAAAGAAAGAUGUGAAAUCCCAGAGCUUAACUUUGGAACUGCAUUUUUAACUACCGGGCUAGAGUGUGUCAGAGGGAGGUGGAAUUCCGCGUGUAGCAGUGAAAUGCGUAGAUAUGCGGAGGAACACCGAUGGCGAAGGCAGCCUCCUGGGAUAACACUGACGCUCAUGCACGAAAGCGUGGGGAGCAAACAGGAUUAGAUACCCUUGUAGUC
rnacentral:rRNA from 1 species